AUUUUAUAAAAAAUUAGGAAACAUAUAAAAUUAAAUUUAUAUACUAAUUUUUAACUUAAAAUAGAAUCAUUUAGAGGCUAAACAAUCCUCCUAAGUUACUACUGAUAUUUAUUCUGUUGUGUUGAAACUGGGUUGGGACUAUUUGGACUUAUAAACUUAAUAUCUUGGUGCACAAAAGUAGUAUUCACUCAAUUAUAAAUCUCACAAAAC
rnacentral:lncRNA from 1 species